AGUGAACGCUGGCGGUAGGCCUAACACAUGCAAGUCGAACGGCAGCACAGUAAGAGCUUGCUCUUACGGGUGGCGAGUGGCGGACGGUUGAGGAAUACAUCGGAAUCUACUUUUUCGUGGGGGAUAACGUAGGGAAACUUACGCUAAUACCGCAUACGACCUACGGGUGAAAGCAGGGGAUCUUCGGACCUUGCGCGAUUGAAUGAGCCUAUGUCGGAUUAGCUAGUUGGCGGGGUAAAGGCCCACCAAGGCGACGAUCCGUAGCUGGUCUGAGAGGAUGAUCAGCCACACUGGAACUGAGACACGGUCCAGACUCCUACGGGAGGCAGCAGUGGGGAAUAUUGGACAAUGGGCGCAAGCCUGAUCCAGCCAUACCGCGUGGGUGAAGAAGGCCUUCGGGUUGUAAAGCCCUUUUGUUGGGAAAGAAAAGCAGCAGGUUAAUACCCCGCUGUUCUGACGGUACCCAAAGAAUAAGCACCGGCUAACUUCGUG
rnacentral:rRNA from 1 species